UCUUGAAGUCAGCUGUCUGUCACCCUCUCUUGCUUUGCUUCAGCCCUGUCCCCUCAUCUCUUAGAUGGAGACUUUGUGUUCGCUUUCCUAUCCAAACAUUCAGCUACUAUCAGCUUCAAAAGAAAAGGACAGGCUGUGUACUUGGCCUCCUGACUCAUCAAGGACAACUCUGCAGUUCUCUGAACUGUAGCCUCUAUAGGCUGAGUUGCAGGCUGAGAGGCAAGACACAGAUGUUCAAGCCCAGACCCAGGGCUAGUCCCAGACUGGUUAUCUGUAAAGCAAGAUUAUAAUGUGCUCCUGGGACACCCGACAGAUGUUUUUUGGAACUGGCAUAAAGCUCUUUGUGGAGCCCCAAAGCCAGCCUCCUGCCAAACCAUCUGUUUUCGUCAUGAAAAACGGAACAAAUGUUGCUUGUCUGGUGAAGGAUUUCUACCCCAAAGAGGUGAAUAUAAGUCUCAGAUCAUCCAAGAAGAUAGCGGAAUUCGACCCUGCUAUCGUCAUCUCCCCCAGCGGGAAGUACAGUGCUGUCAAGCUUGGUCAGUAUGAAGAUUCAAAUUCAGUAACUUGUUCAGUUCAGCACAACAGUGAAACUGUGCACUCAACUGACUUUGAACCUUCUGCAAAUUCUUUCGAUGAUAUAAAGCCAACAGAACCUGAAAACGACACACAAAUUUCAGAGCCUUGCCAUGGCCCAAGAGUCCCAGUUCACACCAAGAAGGUAAACAUGAUGUCCCUCACAGUGCUGGGCCUGCGACUGCUGUUUGCCAAGACUGUUGCCAUCAAUUUUCUCUUGACUGCCAAGUUAUUCUUUUAAGGUGGGCUGGCAUGAGGAGACUACAGUUCCUGAAAGAAAUCAGAAGCAUAGAAAGAUGCUGUAUCCAAGGCUUCCAACUUCUCAGUGCUUCAAACUGACCCUUCACCACCACAUUUAAACAGCUGCUAAUAAAACCAGCUUUUCUGUGACAGAAACAAGCCUAGCUAAUCCUCCAGUCUAAAAGAAAAGCAAAAGCCCUCGGAAGUGGAGUGUGGCCCGGCUUUACAUGCUGCUUUAUAAAGGCACGGAAAGCUAUGAAAACAGAUCCACUUUAUUUUACCCCUAUAACUGGUAUACUUUGAAAAUGGUUUUUCGUCCUUCUUUAUUUACCCAGAACUAGAAAGUGGGGACCAGUAAAUCACCAGCUUCAUUAUCCAGGAGGAAAUGGUCUGGGGAGAGAGAACCCGUAUCUUUUUAGCUAAACCUGGAAAGCUGCCCUCAACUCAUCCCUAGCCAGAGCCCCCCUCCUCCUCUCCUGAGUCCUGUAUGGCCCAGGUCCACCCUCUGUAUUUGCUCCAAUAGCCAUGCUGUUUUCCUAGCAGCACUAGGGUGUGAACAAUUUUAGCACUUUCUGUCUCUCCUAAUACUUUACAAACAAAAUCACGUUUGGCUUCCUUAAUGCUCCCCAAGCAGACAAUAAAGCUUCUAAAAUCA